AGGUCCCUGUUGGAGAAGCAGGGCACGUGCAAAACUAAGAUCGUAGCACGCUCUGUACGUACCCACGUACGUACGUGCAUGCAUGGAUCCUUGUGCACGCGCUCCCCUUCUCCACCACGGCCUU
rnacentral:pre_miRNA from 1 species